rnacentral:rRNA from 1 species
UACAGAGGUCUCAAGCGUUGUUCGGAUUCAUUGGGCGUAAAGGGUGCGUAGGUGGCGCCGUAAGUCGGGUGUGAAAUUUCGGAGCUUAACUCCGAAACUGCAUUCGAUACUGCGGUGCUUGAGGACUGGAGAGGAGACUGGAAUUCAUGGUGUAGCAGUGAAAAUGCGUAGAGAUCAUGAGGAAGACCAGUGGCGAAGGCGGGGUCUCUGGACAGUUCCUGACACUGAGGCACGAAGGCCCAGGGGGAGCAAAACGGGG